rnacentral:rRNA from 1 species
GAUGAACGCUGGCGGCGUGCCUAAUACAUGCCAGUCGAGCGAACAGAUGAGGAGCUUGCUCCUCUGACGUUAGCGGCGGACGGGUGAGUAACACGUGGAUAACUUACCUAUAAGACUGGGAUAACUUCGGGAAACCGGAGCUAAUACCGGAUAGUAUAUUGAACCGCAUGGUUCAAUAGUGAAAGACGGUUUUGCUGUCACUUAUAGAUGGAUCCGCGCCGCAUUAGCUAGUUGGUAAGGUAACGGCUUACCAAGGCAACGAUGCGUAGCCGACCUGAGAGGGUGAUCGGCCACACUGGAACUGAGACACGGUCCAGACUCCUACGGGAGGCAGCAGUAGGGAAUCUUCCGCAAUGGGCGAAAGCCUGACGGAGCAACGCCGCGUGAGUGAUGAAGGUCUUCGGAUCGUAAAACUCUGUUAUUAGGGAAGAACAAAUGUGUAAGUAACUAUGCACGUCUUGACGGUACCUAAUCAGAAAGCCACGGCUAACUACGUG